rnacentral:rRNA from 1 species
GAUGAACGCUAGCUACAGGCUUAACACAUGCAAGUCGAGGGGUAACGAGAGGCAAGCUUGCUUUCCUUGUCGACGACCGGCGCACGGGUGAGUAACGCGUAUCCAACCUGCCCCCAACUAGGGAAUAACCUUGCGAAAGUAAGACUAAUACCCUAUAAUUUCCUCAGAUGUCAUCUGACGAGGAAUAAAGAUUUAUCGGUUGUGGAUGGGGAUGCGUCUGAUUAGCUUGUUGGCGGGGUAACGGCCCACCAAGGCAACGAUCAGUAGGGGUUCUGAGAGUAAGGUCCCCCACAUUGGAACAGAGUCACGGUCCAGACUCCUACGGGAGGCAGCAGUGAGGAAUAUUGGUCAAUGGGCGGAAGCCUGAACCAGCCAAGUAGCGUGCAGGAUGACGGCCCUAUGGGUUGUAAACUGCUUUUAUACAGGAAUAAAGUUAGCCACGUGUGGCUAUUUGUAGGUACUGUAUGAAUAAGGACCGGCUAAUUCCGUGCCAGCAGCCGCAGUAA